GCUGGAUGGUUACAUACAGUUUUGCACAGACAUCUGGAAAGUUUGAUCUGGGAGAGACCACAUCACAGAAAAAUUGUUACUGUCUGAGGGGACACUGGUGAUAAAAACCUUAAAACUCAUAUCUUAACUAAAUCUUACAUGUGCUCAACCUGCCACCUUUUUUGUCAUCACUGGAGUGAAUAGUCUAAUGUGUGCCUAUGAAAUAUUACACCAGACAUAAGGUUAUUAAGCUGCGGGAAAACACCUGCAGGUGUAAACCAUGUCAAGUGUUUAGAACAGUGCCUGCACACAAGCCAUGACCGAAAAAUGUUCAACUUAUAGCCACGCUCUGGUGCCCUCAAGAAGUUUGUUUAGAGGGCAAAAGUAGAAGAAGAGCAGCAGCUGCGGGGGCCUCAUGUGAACUUGGACAAGGGACAUCUCUGCACCACGCUAUUCAGAAAGAAGCCCAGAGGAGUCUUCCAGAUGUGCUGACCCUGGGCUUCUGCACCACUGCAACACCUGUAUGGACUCAUUUCCCGGAUUCUGUUGUCCUGUGGCUGCAUCCUGUCCUCACCUUGAAGCGCUCAUGGACCGUGGCAGGGAGAAAUAUUAAUGCGUCGAGCAUGUUGGAAGGCACAAAGGGAAAUGAGCCGGCAUCUUCAUUGCACCACUUUAAGGAAUGAGACUUUGUGCUGCUGCUUAGAGGGUUUUUAAAACGCGAGGACAUACCAUAUACAACAUAAUUUAAAGGCGCUAUCCAGUCCCCCUGAGGUCCAUUGGAGCGGAACUCCUUGGUCUGGCUGGUGUUUUAACUGUUCUGCUCAAGUAACUGCCAGCAAAUAAUAAAUAAGAAGGCCUUAUCUGUUAGUCUCUGUUUAAUUGGCACUGUUAAAUACAUAAACAGAAUCCUCCCACUCCUUCAAAUGCUAGCACUUCCCUUCGGGUCAAAUCAGUGGUUUUUGUAGUCCUGGCAGCUUAAUAAAGUACUGCUUGAUCAGAAUUAAAGUUUGAUUUGGAGGAAUGCUGAAUUUUCAUUUA
rnacentral:lncRNA from 1 species